rnacentral:rRNA from 1 species
AAGGACGAACGCUGGCGGCAUGCCUAACACAUGCAAGUCGAACGGAAGUAGCAAUACUUAGUGGCGAACGGGUGAGUAACACGUGAGCAACCUGCCUUAUACUCAGGGAUAACAGUUGGAAACGACUGCUAAUACCGGAUAAGACCACACUAUGGCAUCAUAGAGGGGUCAAAGUGCUUUAGCGGUAUGAGAUGGGCUCGCGUCCAAUUAGCUAGUUGGUGGGGUAACGGCCCACCAAGGCGACGAUUGGUAGCCGACUUGAGAGAGUGAUCGGCCACACUGGAACUGAGACACGGUCCAGACUCCUACGGGAGGCAGCAGUGGGGAAUAUUGGGCAAUGGAGGAAACUCUUUAACCCCAGCAAUGCCGCGUGAGUGAUGAAGGUCUUUGGAUUGUAAAGCUCUUUGAUUGGGGAAGAAUAAAUGACGGUACCCAAAGAACAAGCCCCGGCUAACUAUGUGCCAGCAGCCGC